CCUCCAGCCCAACUGCCUGAGACGAUCCGUAUUUCUGUAACCGGGGCUGCGGCGCGGCUCUGCGAUCCGCGGGGCGAGCCCGAGUCCCAGGUCCGCCGGCACGGCGGGCGGCGCGGAGGGAGGCGGCGCCCCGGCCCGGCCCGGCCCGGCCCCGGCCCGCCGCUCCGCGUCCCUCCGCUUCGCUCCGCCGGCCGCUGCCGGGCUGCGGGGAGGCAGCGCAGGGGCGGGCGGCGGCGGAGCUGCCGCGGGGCACCCGCCGGUGCGAUGCGGUGCGGCGUGGUGUCGGGGGCUGAUGGACGGUUAGCCUGGAGAGACUCUUAAGAAACCUAUGGUUAAUUGCAUACACUUAAGCGCAAUUUGGGACCAGCUCCAGUGUCCGUGCUCUGCCUUGCGACCCCGAUUCAUCCAAGCUCGCCUCGUGGCGAUGCCGAGGCAGUUCCGCUCCGGGCGCUCGCCCCUGGCCCGUGGGGAGCGCACCGCCGUGUGCGCAGCCCCCAACGCGUCCGUCCUGCCGGCAGCCCACGUAGGGGGCGCGGGCAGAGCCGCCCCUGCGUGCCCGCAUAGGCCGCUGCGCCGCCCCGGCCCGCACCUGAGCCCACCGCGAGCUUCGCCCCGGCAGCGGGGGGAUGCGGCGGGCAGCGGCUGCCCCAGCCUCGCAGCCUGCAAACGCCGAAAGUCAUCAGCAAGCCCCUUCACCGGCAACAGGGACCACAUCGAGAGAGCGGGAUGAGUCCCCGAGCUAUCGAAAUAAUUCUUUAGGCUCGGACCGAAAAGAAAAAAAAAAGCUCAUCAAACCGUGUGUAUUAUUUUUGCAACAUCUGCGAUUGAGCAUUAGCCCGUAUUUAACCAAAUAAAGUCAUUUUUACGUUUA